GGGAAGAAUGAGACACAGGGGGAGAAAGAGGGGGAAUAGAGAGAUGGGGAGGGGGAGACAGAGACAGAGAGGGAAGAAUGAGACACAGGGGGAGAAAGAGGGGGAAUAGAGAGAUGGGGAGGGGGAGAAAGAGACAGAGAGGGAAGAAUGAGACACAGGGGGAGAAAGAGGGGGAAUAGAGAGUUGGGGGAGGGGGGAGAAAGAGAGGGAAGAAUGAG